GACGGAGGAUGCAAGCGUUAUCCGGAAUUAUUGGGCGUAAAGCGUCCGUAGGUGGUUGUGAAAGUCUGUUGUUAAAGCCCACAGCUUAACUGUGGCUGGGCAAUGGAAACUGUAUGACUAGAGUGUGGUAGGGGUAGAGGGAAUUCCUAGUGUAGCGGUGAAAUGCGUAGAUAUUAGGAAGAACACCAAUCGCGAAAGCACUCUGCUGGGCCAUGACUGACACUCAGAGACGAAAGCUAGGGGAGCGAAUGGG
rnacentral:rRNA from 1 species